rnacentral:ncRNA from 1 species
GACACAGGGAAUGAAGUUCUCCCUUGGUAUAAAUACCAGAACCGCUGAUAAGCUGAUGACUUCUGCGAUU